GAGUUGCGGGAAGCCUCCGCCUGCGGAGAGGUACGGGAGCGGAGAGCCCAGCGAGAGGGGCUUCUGCGUGCCCGCUUGCUUCGGGCGCUGGCGUGACCGCUGCAGUUGCCGCAUCUUAACCAAGAGACUCUGCAAAGGAUUGUAUCUACUCUAGCGAACAAAAAUGAUGAAAUUCACAACUUCAUUGACAUGCUGAACCAUACCAUAAAAAAUGUUCAGGUAAACUCUUCUAAUGUAAUCAGCGAGUUGGAUGAAGAAUUUGAUGGUCUGUAUUCUAUACUGGAUGAGAUGAAGGGGAGUAUGGCCAACGCUAUUCAGCAAGAAGAGGCUCAUAAAAUUCAAGCUCUGCAGGUAACUAUAACUACAUCUGUAAAUCUUUGGUGCUGAGUAGAAGCAGUUUUAAACUGCUAUUUUAAAUCUCAACUGAAAGUGAGAUUUUGGUAGUGUUGCAAGAAAUGCAGUAAGUAUAUGGUAAAUGUUUUCUUUGAUGUAAGUGCUUCUC
rnacentral:lncRNA from 1 species